rnacentral:rRNA from 1 species
UGGGGAAUAUUGCACAAUGGGCGCAAGCCUGAUGCAGCCAUGCCGCGUGUGUGAAGAAGGACUUCGGGUUGUAAAGCACUUUCAGCGGGGAGGAAGGCGAUAAGGUUAAUAACCUUGUCGAUUGACGUUACCCGCAGAAGAAGCACCGGCUAACUCCGUGCCAGCAGCCGCGGUAAUACGGAGGGUGCAAGCGUUAAUCGGAAUUACUGGGCGUAAAGCGCACGCAGGCGGUCUGUCAAGUCGGAUGUGAAAUCCCCGGGCUCAACCUGGGAACUGCUUUCGAAACUGGCAGGCUAGAGACUUGUAGAGGGGUGUAGAAUUCCAGGUGUAUCGGUGAAAUGCGUAGAGAUCUGGAGGAAUACCGGUGGCGAAGGCGGCCCCCUGGACAAAGCCUGACGCUCAGGUGCGAAAGCGUGGGGAGCAAACGGG